rnacentral:tRNA from 1 species
GGGGUGUAGCUCCGUGGCAGAGCGCAUGCUUAGCAUGCAUGAGGUCCUGGGUUCAAUUCCCUAGUGGCUCCA